UUUUCCAAUCACCUCCCACAACUGGGCUCCAGUGUGUGUCAUUUCUAUUUUCAUUUUCAAAGAGAGAUCUCUCUGAAGGCCUCACAUUACCUGUUCCAGAUAACUUUUGACAACAACAGCUUCAAAUAAGGUAAAUAUUCAUCACCACAUACAAGCUGAAACGAAAAUAAGUCAUCAAUGGAAUCCUAAUGAAAAUAAGUCCUUAAAACAAUCCUUCUUUUCUUUUUUCGGGAACUCUGUGGAUGGCUAUGCAUUUGAUUCCUUUUCUCAUGUCUGACUCUGUUUCUGGGGGUGUCAUGUGGCAAAAAAUAAAAUAAAACUAAAAAUAAAAAAAAUUUUAAAAAGGAGGAGGAUGGGCUUUUAAGCCAGAGAGAGAGAAAUCCCAUUCCUGGCCCUCCUGUGUGCCAACUGAGCAGCUCUGGCUCUCUGGAGGCCCCAAGCUGUCUAUCUGAAGAUGGUAACACAGGCAUCCAUGCUGCAAGAUUGUAGCAAGGAUUAGAAAUUAUGUAUGAACAGCAUUUGAAGCAGUGUGCAAUAAUUUAUGUCAAUGAUCGUGAUGUCUGCAUCUCAAAGACAGUGGCGUAUGUCACACACCAAUACCUUUACACUGCUCAGUGCAACCACACCUCCCUCACCAUUCCCCAGGAAAAGGUGCUCUGCUCAGAGUCUCGGGAGACAGCACACCCAAGGUGGCUCAGAUUCUUUCUCCUUAAACUAUUGCCUGUUUUAUCAGUGUGGAAAACUGGGCAAAUAGUACAAUCACAGUAAGAGUCUCCCCAUCCGUAAAUGUUGCAUCAGGCCAGGUACAGUGGCUCAUACCUGUAAUCCCAACACUUUGGGAGGCUGAGGCAAGUGGAUUGCUUGAGCUCAGGAGUUCAAGACCAGCCUGGGCAAUGUGGCAAAACUCUGCCUCUACUAAAACUACAAAAAAUUAGCCGGGUGUGGUGGUGCAUACCUGUAGCCCCUGCUAUUCAGGAGGCUGAGGUGGGAGAAUAGCUUGAGCCCGGAAGGCUGAGAUUGCAGUGAACUGAGGUUGCAGCAGUGCACUCCAGUCUUGCGACAGAGACCCUGUCUCUAAAUAAAUAAAUAAAUGCUGCAUCAGGCCUCAAUGCUUGAGACCUAAAUCUGACUUAUAUCUGUUUUGGCCAAAUUCCAUGCUGAUCCUCUAGAGACAGCACCCAAGCCACAGGACUGCUUAGUAUUUUCUCCGCACCGCCAUGGUUCCUCACUGCUGUGGUUCUCUUUCUUCUUCCCAUUUCCCACUAUUGUUCUGUUUCCUUUCAUAUAGACUAUAUUCCAGAAAUAUGAACAUUAAAGCUUAAGAACAGAGUUCAGCCUGUAAUAUCAGCACUUUGGGAGGCCCAGUUGGGUGGAUCACUUGAGGCUAGGAGUUUUAGGCGAGCCUGGACAACAUGGAGAAACCUCGUCUCUACUAAAAAUACAAAAAUUACCUGGGCAUGGUGGUGCAAGCCUGUAAUCCCAGCUAUUCAGGAGGCUGAGGCAGGAGAAUUGCUUAAACUCAGGAGGCAGAGAUUACGGUGAGCUGAGAUCGCACCAUUGCACUCCAGCCUGGGCAACAGAAUGAGACUCCAUCUAA
rnacentral:lncRNA from 10 species